GACGAACGCUGGCGGCGUGCUUAACACAUGCAAGUCGAACGAAGUGGCGAACGGGUGAGUAAUACGUGAGUAACCUGCCCUCCUUUUUGGGAUAAGCCUUGGAAACGGGGUCUAAUACCGGAUAACGGGGGAUGGGCUCGCGGCCUAUCAGCCUGUUGGUGGGGUGAUGGCCUACCAAGGCGGUGACGGGUAGCCGGCCUGAGAGGGUGACCGGCAACAUGGGGACUGAGAUACGGACCAGACGCCUACGGGAGGCAGCAGUGGGGAAUCUUCCACAAUGGACGAAAGUCUGACGGAGCAACGCCGCGUGCGGUAUGACGGCCUUCGGGUUGUAAACCGCUUUCAGCCAUGACGCGGUAGUGGCAGAAGAAGCACCGGCUAACUACGUGCCAGCAGCCGCGGUAAUUC
rnacentral:rRNA from 1 species